rnacentral:lncRNA from 1 species
AUGAAUGGCUCGACUCUCAAAGCUGGAGCUCCAAGCACGGCUCUGCGCGGGGCCUUCCCGCCAGGUGCACACGGGGCCCGGCGGGAAACCACAGUCCCGAGCACACGGGUCUCCCGCUCGCCAGUCACUGAAGGGCCGCGAAGGGCUGCGGAAUCCCCACUAAGAGCAGGCGCGCAGGCGCACAGUGCACCGAGUCCCGCGCGGCUCCGCGCACUGAGGACACGCCCCCGCGAGCGCGCUGACGUCAUCUGCCGAGGCAUGGUCACGUGGCCGCGCGGCGUCGGGGCGGGGCUACGCCAUGGCGUCAGCGAUGGUGGCGUGGGUGGCAUGGCUAUGGCGCUCUGGAGCGGAGCUGUCUUUAUCCGCUGCCAUCGAGGGGCGCAGGCGGUAUCCGCCGGUCCCGGGCUAAGAAGGCGGCAGCCGCGAACAGGUGCACGGCCCCGGGAGGCGAGAGGGCUGACCGCCGGCACGAUGCCCCGUCCUGGAACAGCCUCGGAACGCCCCGGGCCUGCCGUGGGGAAACGCGUCCCUGUGAGUCUGGCGUUCCUGUGGCCUUGA